rnacentral:rRNA from 1 species
AUUGAACGCUGGCGGCAUGCCUUACACAUGCAAGUCGAACGGUAACGGGCCUUCGGGUGCCGACAAGUGGCGAACGGGUGAGUAAUGUAUCGGAACGUACCUUUCAGUGGGGGAUAACGUAGCGAAAGUUACGCUAAUACCGCAUAUUCUGUGAGCAGGAAAGCAGGGGAUCGCAAGACCUUGCGCUGAUUGAGCGGCCGAUAUCAGAUUAGUUAGUUGGUGAGGUAAAGGCUCACCAAGGCGACGAUCUGUAGCGGGUCUGAGAGGAUGAUCCGCCACACUGGAACUGAGACACGGUCCAGACUCCUACGGGAGGCAGCAGUGGGGAAUUUUGGACAAUGGGGGCAACCCUGAUCCAGCCAUGCCGCGUGAGUGAAGAAGGCCUUCGGGUUGUAAAACUCUUUCGGCCGGGAAGAAAUCGUAUCAGCUAAUACCUGGUGCGGAUGACGGUACCGGCAUAAGAAGCACCGGCUAACUACGUGCCAGCAGCCGCAGUAACAC